rnacentral:rRNA from 1 species
AGAUUGAACGCUGGCGGCAUGCCUUACACAUGCAAGUCGAACGGUAGAGUAGCAAUACUUGAGAGUGGCGAACGGGUGAGUAAUAUAUCGGAACGUGCCCAGUCGUGGGGGAUAACGUAGAGAAAUUUACGCUAAUACCGCAUACGAUCUAAGGAUGAAAGCGGGGGACCGUAAGGCCUCGCGCGAUUGGAGCGGCUGAUAUCAGAUUAGGUUGUUGGUGAGGUAAAAGCUCACCAAGCCGACGAUCUGUAGCUGGUUUGAGAGAACGACCAGCCACACUGGGACUGAGACACGGCCCAGACUCCUACGGGAGCAGCAGUGGGAAUUUGGACAAUGGGCGAAAAGCCUGAUCCAGC